rnacentral:lncRNA from 1 species
GGGGUUUGCUGCGGGAAAACACGCCACGCAAGCCCUACGACCUGCUUUUGGCUUCAGUUUCCUCACCUAUGAACUGAACAGCAGGAAGAGGAUUCCAAAAAGAGGUUCUCAGCAGAAAACUGCCUGAAGUGUAACCUACAUUGAGAUAACAGAGAAGAAUGAAAAGAGGCAUGGUGAUGUAGUGGCUAGAGUUCUGGACAUAGUGAAAGGGGAAUUGGGAGUUCAAAUCCCUAU